AAGGAGGAAACCGAAAAUCCUAUUGAACAGAGUAGGUA
rnacentral:ncRNA from 1 species